rnacentral:rRNA from 1 species
UAGGGAAUCUUCCGCAAUGGACGCAAGUCUGACGGAGCAACGCCGCGUGAGUGAAGAAGGAUUUCGGUUCGUAAAACUCUGUUGUUAGAGAAGAACAGCGCAUAGAGUAACUGUUAUGCGUGUGACGGUAUCUAACCAGAAAGCCACGGCUAACUACGUGCCAGCAGCCGCGGUAAUACGUAGGUGGCAAGCGUUGUCCGGAUUUAUUGGGCGUAAAGCGAGCGCAGGCGGUCAAUUAAGUCUGAUGUGAAAGCCCCCGGCUCAACCGGGGAGGGUCAUUGGAAACUGGUUGACUUGAGUGCAGAAGAGGAGAGUGGAAUUCCAUGUGUAGCGGUGAAAUGCGUAGAUAUAUGGAGGAACACCCGUGGCGAAGGCGACUCUCUGGUCUGUAACUGACGCUGAGGCUCGAAAGCGUGGGUAGCAAACAGG